rnacentral:lncRNA from 13 species
CCACAAACCCACCGUCUCAUAAAGCCCUUCUCCAUGUUUUCUAUGCUUCUGUGCUACCAGUUGGAGUUGGUUUUACAAGCUACAGUGCCAGAAGAUAUGGCAGGUUGUUGGUCCAGCUCCGUGACUGCAGAAGCACUCCAGGAAGUGGGAUUACUGUCCUGCAAAACCUGAAAGGAAGGGCUGAGGACAAUGAGCAUCCUGACAGUGGCAUUGCCUUUGCAGACUCUCUCAUGCAAGAGGACCACACACACCAACAAGCUUUGGGGUACCAAACAGCAUAAUACUGCAGGUAAAAUGGCUACUUCACUCCUCAAACUAAACCUACCAUAGGGCACUCAUGUAGAAAAUAAAGACUCCUUUGCCUUUUUGCUCUGGCAAAUAUCUGGUGAUACUUUUUGGGGAGUUUUUUGCCCCAAUAACAAUUUUUUGUUUUAAUUUUUCCUCAAGUUAU